GUACUUGUUUCAAUAGCACAUACAUUAAAAUUGAAAUGAUACAGAGAUUAGCAUGACCCCUGAUCAAGGAUGACAUGCAAAUCUGUGAAGCAUUUGAUAUUUUU
ensembl:snRNA U6 U6 spliceosomal RNA